GAUGAACGCUGGCGGCGUGCUUAACACAUGCAAGUCGAACGAAGCGCUUUAACUUGAUUCUUCGGAUGAAGGUUUUUGUGACUGAGUGGCGGACGGGUGAGUAACGCGUGGGUAACCUGCCUCAUACAGGGGGAUAACAGUUAGAAAUGACUGCUAAUACCGCAUAAGACCACAAAGCCGCAUGGCUUAGUGGGAAAAACUCCGGUGGUAUGAGAUGGACCCGCGUCUGAUUAGGUAGUUGGUGGGGUAACGGCCUACCAAGCCAACGAUCAGUAGCCGACCUGAGAGGGUGACCGGCCACAUUGGGACUGAGACACGGCCCAAACUCCUACGGGAGGCAGCAGUGGGGAAUAUUGCACAAUGGGGGAAACCCUGAUGCAGCGACGCCGCGUGAGCGAAGAAGUAUUUCGGUAUGUAAAGCUCUAUCAGCAGGGAAGAAAAUGACGGUACCUGACUAAGAAGCACCGGCUAAAUACGUGCCAGCAGCCGCGGUAAUACGUAUGGUGCAAGCGUUAUCCGGAUUUACUGGGUGUAAAGGGAGCGUAGACGGCUGUGUAAGUCUGAAGUGAAAGCCCGGGGCUCAACCCCGGGACUGCUUUGGAAACUAUGCAGCUAGAGUGUCGGAGAGGUAAGUGGAAUUCCCAGUGUAGCGGUGAAAUGCGUAGAUAUUGGGAGGAACACCAGUGGCGAAGGCGGCUUACUGGACGAUGACUGACGUUGAGGCUCGAAAGCGUGGGGAGCAAACAGGAUUAGAUACCCUGGUAGUCCACGCCGUAAACGAUGACUACUAGGUGUCGGGGAGCAAAGCUCUUCGGUGCCGCAGCAAACGCAAUAAGUAGUCCACCUGGGGAGUACGUUCGCAAGAAUGAAACUCAAAGGAAUUGACGGGGACCCGCACAAGCGGUGGAGCAUGUGGUUUAAUUCGAAGCAACGCGAAGAACCUUACCUGCUCUUGACAUCCCGGUGACCGGCAUGUAAUGAUGCCUUUUCUUCGGAACACCGGUGACAGGUGGUGCAUGGUUGUCGUCAGCUCGUGUCGUGAGAUGUUGGGUUAAGUCCCGCAACGAGCGCAACCCUUAUCUUCAGUAGCCAGCAUUUUAGGUGGGCACUCUGGAGAGACUGCCAGGGAUAACCUGGAGGAAGGUGGGGAUGACGUCAAAUCAUCAUGCCCCUUAUGAGCAGGGCUACACACGUGCUACAAUGGCGUAAACAAAGGGAAGCAAACCUGCGAGGGUAAGCAAAUCUCAAAAAUAACGUCUCAGUUCGGAUUGUAGUCUGCAACUCGACUACAUGAAGCUGGAAUCGCUAGUAAUCGCGAAUCAGCAUGUCGCGGUGAAUACGUUCCCGGGUCU
rnacentral:rRNA from 1 species